UACAGAGGUCUCGAGCGUUGUUCGGAUUCAUUGGGCGUAAAGGGUGCGUAGGCGGCGCGGUAAGUCGGAUGUGAAAUCUCGGAGCUUAACUCCGAAACUGCAUUCGAUACUGCCGUGCUUGAGGACUGGAGAGGAGACUGGAAUUUACGGUGUAGCGGUGAAAUGCGUAGAUAUCGUAAGGAAGACCAGUGGCGAAGGCGGGUCUCUGGACAGUUCCUGACGCUGAGGCACGAAGGCCAGGGGAGCAAACGGG
rnacentral:rRNA from 1 species